rnacentral:sRNA from 1 species
CACAUAUAUUCCUUCCAUUCAUUGAAGUCUUCUCAUUUUGGGUCGGUCACUUCUUUUUUUUUUUUUCUACUGCUUUUCUUUUUAAAAGGAUUUCUGCAGAUCCUGAGAAUGUUGGGGAGGUCAUACAUUGUCUUAUUUGUGAUGUCUAAUCUGAUCAAACAACAAAUCUUCAUGGCUCACAUAGGCAUAUAAGAAUGUGGCUGUCACAUCAACCUGAGCCUGUCCAUCUUUUCUAUAUUGAUGGAAUAUUUCACUAUAGUAUCAACAAAUAGCAGUUGGCUAUGCUCACAGUUGGACUCACUGGCUGUUAUCUAAGCCACUCUACAUUUCAAAUAUUUUUAUUUCCAAAAACUAAAUGUACUCAAAAGCCAUCAUUUGUCUUGCAGGCGUUACAUGCAGAUCCGCUCCAUACACACUGGAGAGAUGCUGUCUACUUGGACCACCAAGCAGAUCCCAUGUAAUACAAUUGAAGAUAACUCUUCUUCAGGCAUUCACUUGUUAAUGAAUGUGGAAGCUCUUGUGAACAAGGUCUCCCCUUUGGUGAUGACUUCAGCCCACAUUACUAACUACUUCAAUCUGAUUGCUGUGGCACUACGAGAUGCUGACCAGGAGACUACUGUUCUCUGCGUGGGUGGACCUGACUGCCAGACUCUGGCUGCUAGAGAUGCAGACUGGAUUCAGUGUGAGAACUGUCGCACUUGGUGGCACAGGGCCUGUGCUGACCUGACCAAGACCAUUUUUUACUGUAACUCUUGUCACCAGAGGAUCCUAGCAGUGAAAGGUGAACUUCCUGCUCCUGUGCAGCCACAUGAGGAGGGAGAAAGUGAAUGUCACAGUGUUGAAGAUAUUAACCAAUGAAAUGAUCCCAACCGCAAUCAGCACAAUUCUCAAGAUAUUAAAACUCAAUAUGGGUGUUACAAUACUGAUGCCGUAAAGGGAGGCAAAGGUUUCUCAUUGUCAGGAUUCAUCUUGAUCUUGGUGCAUUCCUGUUUUGCAAGGAGGCGAAGAUAGUUAUAUUCUUGCCUUACCAUUGGGUCAUUUGUUUUGCUGCCAGAAAGAAGUAUGGAAGUUUGUUCUAGGUCUACUGGUAUGCUCCUAUUUUAAGUUUAGAAAAAAAGUGACACAGUUAUGAUAUGACCAUCACAGACUUGCUCAUUCAUUCAAUUCUAUGCUACCCAAUUUCGGGGUACCUGAUAAAUAAAUAUAAAUUUGGUUUAGAAA